rnacentral:rRNA from 1 species
CCAGUGACAAACUGGAGGAAGGCGGGGACGACGUCAAGUCAUCAUGGCCCUUACGGCCAGGGCUACACACGUGCUACAAUGGUCGGUACAAAGGGUUGCUACACAGCGAUGUGAUGCUAAUCUCAAAAAGCCGAUCGUAGUCCGGAUUGGAGUCUGCAACUCGACUCCAUGAAGUCGGAAUCGCUAGUAAUCGCGGAUCAGAAUGCCGCGGUGAAUACGUUCCCGGGCCUUGUACACACCGCCCGUCACACCAUGGGAGUUUGUUGCACCAGAAGUAGCUAGCCUAACUGCAAAGAGGGCGGUUACCACGGUGUGGCCGAUGACUGGGGUGAAGUCGUAACAAGGUAGCCGUAGGGGAACCUGCGGCUGGAUCACCUCCUUA